CAGGGAGACAACAAAAUGUUAAAUAUUAAUUUUGUCACCUUAGGUCGAUCGGUACCUCACAUUCUUAAUUUUUAAGAAUUUUAUUUCCUAAGUUUUUUCUAGGUCACACCCAUUACUUUUCCUGGGCCAUUAGCUCAGGUGGUUAGAGCGCACCCCUGAUAAGGGUGAGGUCCCUGGUUCAAGUCCAGGAUGGCCCAUAUCUCUAUGUUGGGGGUAUAGCUCAGUUGGUAGAGCGCCUGCUUUGCAAGCAGGAUGUCAGCGGUUCGAGUCCGCUUACCUCCACUGAUUACCACCUCUUCCAUAUUCUGUAGAAGGGAAAUGUUUUGAGUUGUGAUCAAAUUCUGAACGAUUCUAGCUUCCUAAUUUAACUCAUUAAGAUGCUGGAUUCAUUGAAUUAAAUUCAUUGUUUUCAGAGAACCUUGACAACUGCAUAGAUUAUUUUUAAAGACAAUAAGCAUCUUUAAUGAUGCAGAUUUAUUAUUUGUGCUAAAGCAUUAAUAACAAUUCUAUUAAGCUGAUGCUUCAAUUUUUGAAGUUAUU
rnacentral:tRNA from 1 species